UUUUGCAGUAGGACUCUGAUAAGCACCAGCUGCAGAGCCUUAGGCCAGUGAGCUCAUCACUCUGGAUCUUGGUUUCUUCAUCGAGGAGGUAAACAGGGUUGUCUACACAGGACCCCCACGGAGUCCCUUCCAACAUGGAUGGAAUCUGUCUCAGCCUGGUUGGACAAUACCAAGCCUCCCAAGAUUUUGCACCGAGUGACACAGAGGACUGUGACUCUCACUCUCACACAAACAGGAACAUGAAUGUGGCCACAGAAUGUGGAGUGAAUUACGUUCAUGAACGAAGAUAUCUCUCUCUCUCUCUCUCUAUCUAUCUAUCAUCUAUCAAUAAUCUAUGAGAAGGAAAAGGAGAGAGGAGAUUGGAGGAGGGGAGGGAGAGAGGGAUGGAGAGUGUUUUUGGUUGUUUGUAAAAGAUGAUUGUUUUCCUGCAUUGGAAACUUUUGGACUGAAAGUUAGAGUUCAAAAUGUGGCUCACACAAUAGAGAUUUGAGCUUUCUGUAACCUAGCUGGACCCCAAGUUUCAAGAUAUGGAGGAUAAACUGAAGACUUUUAUAGGUAAGCAGAUGCAACUCGAGACCAUCUUCAUAAGUGGAAUAAAUCAGACGCACAUGUGUGAACGUCGUAUUGUUCUGGUAGCGUGAGAACCUGAAGUGAGUAAAUGAGAUCCAAAAUGUACCGCAGAUACUGUGAGCUGGGCAAAGAGAAAGGAAAGAACAACUGGGAUGGGGAAGGAGAAAAGAAAAAACAUAUCCAUGCACAAGAUAGUUAAGAUAGGACACAGCCAGAUCCUCUGAGUUCACUGAAAAGCAAGACUUGUGCUAAUAUUGUCUGGACAAGAAAUAUAUCACGCCUACAUCUUGUUCUCUGAAUAACUACUACGAAGACAACAAUACACAUGGUAUUAAUUAUUGUAACUCUUCUAUGGGUACUGUUUUGAAAUUGUUAUUUUUAUUUUUUUCUCUUUAAAAAAAUCCAAAAUAAUUAAAUGUCUCCUCUCUUUUCUCCUUGUUGACAUUUUUUAAAUCCUGGGGCUGGAACCCAGGGCCUUGCUCAUGCUAGUUAGGCCCACUGAACUACACCCCCAGCCUUCUUUUCCUUAUUUUUGUCAUUAGAAAACUUGAAUAUACAUUAUUAUAUAUAAUGUGUAAGUAUAUAUUAUAUAAUGUAUAACAAUAUAUGACAUAUAUAUAUAUGAAAAUAGCUUGAGUUCAUGUUCAGUAGCUUGCUUCUUAAUGAAUGUAUUUUUCUGGUUGCAUUAAACCCUAAAUUUUAUCCCAAAGUCUGAUUUUAUUUUUUGGUAUGGAAACAAACCAAAAAGCAAAAACACAGCAUGCUGUGGUACCCAAACGUAAUUCAUUUAACUUUCACUAAUUAAAUUUUGUAAAUUUGCUUUGCAUAAUGUGUUCAACUCCAUUAUUAAUGAGAAAGGUAGAAGGACUGAAGUAGAGCCAAGAAGCGAGCGCUGUGGGACGUGUGUGUGCAUGUGUGUGCGUGUGCACGCGCGUGUGAUGUGUAAUUAAGGGACAGAGGCGGGGCUGUCUGGAAGCCCUAUUGGUAAACAAAGCCAGGCUCAGGAAUCGCCUGGGAAGAGGAAGGGCCUGGAAAGGCUGGGCUCCGAGCGGCCCCUCGGCUGUCCAAUGAAGUGCUUGUUAUCAGAAGGAAAUGUGUACUUUUUGAGGUGAGAUCGGUUCUGUGCCCUGAACCGAAUGAUUUUUCGUUUUUUGUUCUGAUAACAAGCUGGCGGUAAGCUUCACUGAACUGAGAAAUUGUAAACUCUUAGAAAAGGCUGUCUAAAGAUAACAAUUCAAUGUUUCUUGGUAAUGUAUUCUGGAUGAAUCUGAUAAUUUAAAGCCCACUUCACCAGAAUGGGAGUGGUGCUUGCGUCCUCUUUAUCUUCAAUUAUGUCUAAUCUGUUUCUAAUUCAAACACUGUGCUCUGUUGUCAGAUCAAAUAUAGAUUUUAAAUGUUUUAUGCUUCUCCGCUGGGAAGGUUGAAAAUGUAUGCGGGCUGUCUGUCAGG